rnacentral:rRNA from 1 species
CUGCCCCUAGUUACACGUGUCUAGGGGGCGUGCCGGCGACAAGCCGGAGGAAGGUGGGGAUGACGUCAAGUCAGCAUGGCCUUGAUGCCCGGGGCUACACACACGCUACAAUGCCCGGUACAAUGGGUUGCCAACCCGCGAGGGGGAGCCAAUCCCAUCAAAGCCGGGCUCAGUUGGGAUUGCAGGCUGCAACCCGCCUGCAUGAACGCGGAGUUGCUAGUAACCGCCGGUCAGCCAUACGGCGGUGAA